rnacentral:misc_RNA from 1 species
GAUGAAGAACGUAGCGAAAUGCGAUAAGUAAUGUGAAUUGCAGAAUUCAGUGAAUCAUCGAAUCUUUGAACGCACACUGCGCCCGCCAGUAUUCUGGCGGGCAUGCCUGUUCGAGCGUCAUUACAACCCUCAGGCCCCCGGGCCUGGCGUUGGGGAUCGGCGGAGCCCCCCGUGGGCACACGCCGUCCCCCAAAUACAGUGGCGGUCCCGCCGCAGCUUCCAUCGCGUAGUAGCUAACACCUCGCGACUGGAGAGCGGCGCGGCCACGCCGUAAAACACCCAACUCUUCUGAAGUUGACCUCGAAUCAGGUAGGAAUACCCGCUGAACUUAAGCAUAUCAAUAAGCGGAGGA